CUGUUUCCUACCUGUCCUGUGUCCUACUGUACCUGUCCUGUGUACUACCUGUAGUCACACCAGUAUUACUGUCCUGAGUCCUACCUGUCCUGAGUCCAACCUGUCCUGUGUCCUACCUGUCCUGUGUCCUACCUGUCCUGUGUCCUACCUGUAGUCACACCAGUAUUACUGUCCUGUUUCCUACCUGUCCUGUGUCCUACUGUACCUGUUCUGUGUCCUACCUGUAGUCACACCAGUAUUACUGUCCUGUGUCCUACCUGUCCUGUAUCCUACCUGUCCUGUGUCCUACUGUACCUGUCCUGUUUCCUACCUGUAGUCACAUCAGUAUUACUUCACAUCAGUAUUAUCUGUCCUGUGUCCUACCUGUCCUGUGUCCUACUGUACCUGUCCUGUGUCCUACCUGUCCUGUGUCCUACCUGUCCUGUGUCCUACCUGUCCUGUGUCCUACCUGUCCUGUGUCCUACCUGUCCUGUGUCCUACUGUACCCCACAUCUGUCCUACCUGUAUGUUCUGUUUGAAAGUUAAUUUUUGUCUGUGUUACAUAGAAAACACAAUAUGUUACAUGUAAACACCACACGUUAUCAUGGACAGGUCGAUUUUUAAUUAUAAUUAUUUCAUAACUUUAGUGUCUAUGUUAAUACACACAGACCUUUGAACACUUGAGCAG
ensembl:lncRNA